rnacentral:rRNA from 1 species
GACGAACGCUGGCGGCAUGCCUAAUACAUGCAAGUCGAACGCACGAAGUUGAAAAGCUUGCUUUUCGACCAAGUGAGUGGCGGACGGGUGAGUAACACGUGGGUAACCUGCCCAUAAGAGGGGGAUAACAUUCGGAAACGGAUGCUAAUACCGCAUAUUUCAAGUGACCGCAUGGUCGCUUGAUGAAAGGUGGCUUCGGCUACCACUUAUGGAUGGACCCGCGGUGCAUUAGUUAGUUGGUGAGGUAAUGGCUCACCAAGACCAUGAUGCAUAGCCGACCUGAGAGGGUGAUCGGCCACACUGGGACUGAGACACGGCCCAGACUCCUACGGGAGGCAGCAGUAGGGAAUCUUCCGCAAUGGACGAAAGUCUGACGGAGCAAUGCCGCGUGAGUGAAGAAGGUUUUCGGAUCGUAAAACUCUGUUGUUAGAGAAGAACAAGGAUGAGAGUAACUGCUCAUCCCCUGACGGUAUCUAACCAGAAAGCCACGGCUAACUACGUGCCAGCCGCCGCCGUAACAC